GAUGAACGCUGGCGGCGUGCCUAACACAUGCAAGUCGAACGGAGAUUUAACGCUGAUGAAGCUUCGGCAGAUUCUUGUUAAAUCUUAGUGGCGGACGGGUGAGUAACGCGUGGGCAACCUGCCUCAUACUGGGGGAUAACAGCUGGAAACGACUGUUAAUACCGCAUAAGCGCACAGCAUCGCAUGAUGCAGUGUGAAAAACUCCGGUGGUAUGAGAUGGGCCCGCGUCAGAUUAGCCAGUUGGCAGGGUAACGGCCUACCAAAGCGACGAUCUGUAGCCGGCCUGAGAGGGCGGACGGCCACAUUGGGACUGAGACACGGCCCAAACUCCUACGGGAGGCAGCAGUGGGGGAUAUUGCACAAUGGAGGAAACUCUGAUGCAGCGACGCCGCGUGAGUGAAGAAGUAUUUCGGUAUGUAAAGCUCUAUCAGCAGGGAAGAA
rnacentral:rRNA from 1 species